GUUAGUAGCUCAGUGGUAGAGUGCAGGCUCUGUGUGUAUGACAUCCUGGGUUCAAAUCCCUAUUUUAAAA